GGCUUGGUAGCUCAAUGGUAGGGCGUUGCUUUCCGGUCUCUCCUAGCACACUAUUAUAAUUGUGUGUUUGUCCGCUGGCAAAGGUUCUGGGUUCGAGUCCCAGCCGAGUCG